UCUUUAACUUUAGCCAAUAUGUUUACACACAGAAUUUUUUUUACAAUUAACAUUUUAAAACUUGCUUAGAGUGUGAAAAAGAAGAGGCGAGAAAGACCCCCCGACAGACCAAAGCCCGUGUGCCGCUGCAUCCUGCAUCCAGCACCUACCUCCCGCCACUGUCGCCACUGCCACCAUGCCCAAGAGAAAGGCUGAAGGGGAUGCUAAGGGAGAUAAAGCCAAGGUGAAGGAUGAACCACAGAGAAGAUCCGCAAGGUUGUCUGCUAAACCUCCUCCUCCAAAGCCAGACAGCCCAAGCCUAGAAAGGCCCCUGCAAAGAAGGGAGAGAAGGUACCCAAAGGGAAAAAGGGAAAAGCUGAAUUGAUGUGGAGAAAACACCUUUCCCUUCUAGUUUUGAGAGACUUCCUCUUGGCUCCCAGGAGGAGGGAUUCCCUGACUUUGACACACAUGGCCACCUUGGCACAAAAGCCUUGUGGUAUAGAAAAACAAAUUUGUUUUUAUGUCCUCUUCUCCCUUUCCAUCUUUCAGCAUAGACUUAACUCCCUUAAGCCCAGACAUCUGUUGGGACCUGACCCCUGGCAU
rnacentral:lncRNA from 1 species